GGAGGCCGAGACCAGACGCGGAGCCAUGGCCGAGGUGUUGCGGACGCUGGCCGUCUCACAGGUCCUUCCCCAGGUCCAAGAGGCUCUUCUGUGGUCUAAUGACAAGUAGCUGCCUAGCCGUGGUGGCACCUCCUAUCACAUGUUAAGGGACCCCUCCCCAGGGCCACACCUGGCAGAAGGUGGCUUAUGAUGUUCGCAGCUUGAAAGUAGUGUAAACCAAAGAUAAAAUUCUAAGCCCACUCCCCCAGCCAUCGGAAUGGACCCCUCCUCUUGGCCAGGGCACUCCAAAGUUAACCUGAAAAACCGGUUCAGGCUGUGAAGAGAAGGUGGAGUGGACAUGCCUCAUUUAUGUCCUCCUCCCUUUUGGAAUUCAGCAAAGCUGACCAGCAUGAACAUUAACACAGACCUUAAGUCUGAUUAGUGGCAUUUACAAUCUAUACUCUCUGAAGCGUGCUACCUGGAGGCUUCCUUUGC
rnacentral:misc_RNA from 1 species